UAAACACUGGCAGGAGAGCGUUGCACACCGCAAGGUUGUAGCAACCGCCGAAGGCGCAAUUCCGCCCGGAAACGCUCAGGCAAAAGGACUGGCAGUACUAG
rfam:Thiothrix lacustris isolate A8 Ga0073116_1026, whole genome shotgun sequence.